GAUGAACGCUGGCGACGUGCCUAAUACAUGCAAGUCGAACGCUGAAGGAGGAGCUUGCUCUUCUGGAUGAGUUGCGAACGGGUGAGUAACGCGUAGGUAACCUGCCUGGUAGCGGGGGAUAACUAUUGGAAACGAUAGCUAAUACCGCAUGACAACAGUUAUUGCAUGAUAACUGUUUAAAAGGGGCAACUGCUCCACUACCAGAUGGACCUGCGUUGUAUUAGCUAGUUGGUGAGGUAACGGCUCACCAAGGCGACGAUACAUAGCCGACCUGAGAGGGUGAUCGGCCACACUGGGACUGAGACACGGCCCAGACUCCUACGGGAGGCAGCAGUAGGGAAUCUUCGGCAAUGGACGGAAGUCUGACCGAGCAACGCCGCGUGAGUGAAGAAGGUUUUCGGAUCGUAAAGCUCUGUUGUAAGAGAAGAACGAGUGUGAGAGUGGAAAGUUCACACUGUGACGGUAGCUUACCAGAAAGGGACGGCUAACUACGUG
rnacentral:rRNA from 1 species